rnacentral:lncRNA from 1 species
AAAAAUAUAACAAAUUAAUUCAUAUGGCUUAGUGGUAAAUCUAAUAAGAAUUGUAAGUAAAAGGUUAAGGGUUCGAUUCCUACUAAGAAAUUUUUUAGCAUUUUUCUACUAACGUUUUUUAAUAAAGACACAAAAUAACCCUGAAUUGAUUAUGUGUCAAAAAAUGAAAAAGGGGCAAAUUAGGAAUUUCAUAGGUACUUUCUUUUCUUAUAUAGUAGAUGAU